rnacentral:rRNA from 1 species
CCUGUUCGAGCGUCAUUUCACCACUCAAGCCUCGCUUGGUAUUGGGCAACGCGGUCCGCCGCGUGCCUCAAAUCGACCGGCUGGGUCUUCUGUCCCCUAAGCGUUGUGGAAACUAUUCGCUAAAGGGUGCUCGGGAGGCUACGCCGUAAAACAACCCCAUUUCUAAGGUUGACCUCGGAUCAGGUAGGGAUACCCGCUGAACUUAAGCAUAUCAAUAAGCGGAGGAAAAGAAACCAACAGGGAUUGCUCUAGUAACGGCGAGUGAAGCAGCAAUAGCUCAAAUUUGAAAUCUGGCGUCUUCGGCGUCCGAGUUGUAAUUUGUAGAGGAUGCUUCUGAGUAACCACCGACCUAAGUUCCUUGGAACAGGACGUCAUAGAGGGUGAGAAUCCCGUAUGCGGUCGGAAAGGUGCUCUACACGUAGCUCCUUCGACGAGUCGAGUUGUUUGGGAAUGCAGCUCUAAAUGGGAGGUAAAUUUCUUCUAAAGCUAAAUAUUGGCCAGAGACCGAUAGCGCACAAGUAGAGUGAUCGAAAGAUGAAAAGCACUUUGGAAAGAGAGUUAAAAAGCACGUGAAAUUGUUAAAAGGGAAGGGAUUGCAACCAGACUUGCUCGCGGUGUUCCGCCGGUCUUCUGACCGGUCUACUCGCCGCGUUGCAGGCCAGCAUCGUCUGGUGCCGCUGGAUAAGACUUGAGGAAUGUAGCUCCCUCGGGAGUGUUAUAGCCUCUUGUGAUGCAGCGAGCGCCGGGCGAGGUCCGC